UACGUAGGGUCCGAGCGUUGUCCGGAGUUACUGGGCGUAAAGCGCGCGCAGGCGGCGGUGUUGGCCCGGCGUGAAAGCCCCCGGCUCAACCGGGGAGAGUCGUCGGGGACCGCACCGCUUGAGGGCGGUAGGGGCUGGUGGAAUGCCUGGUGUAGUGGUGAAAUGCGUAGAGAUCAGGCAGAACACCUGGGGCGAAGGCGGCCAGCUGGGCCGUCCCUGACGCUGAGGCGCGAAGGCGCGGGGAGCGAACGGG
rnacentral:rRNA from 1 species